rnacentral:tRNA from 1 species
AGCGGGGUAGGGUAGCCAGGUAGCCUGCGGGGCUCAUAACCCCGAGGUCCCCGGUUCAAAUCCGGGCCCCAUCC